rnacentral:rRNA from 1 species
GACGAACGCUGGCGGCGUGCCUAAUACAUGCAAGUCGAACGCAGUGGGGACGGGUGAGUAACACGUGGGUAACCUCCCAUCAGAGGGGAUAACACUUGGAAACAGGUGCUAAACCGAUACCGAAGGAUUGACCCGCGUUGCAUUAGCUAGUUGGUGAGGUAACGGCUCACCAAGGACACGAUGCAUAGCCGAACUUGGAGAGUGAUCGACGACACGCGAGCUGUGACACGGCACAGACUCGUACGGGUGGCGGCAGUAGGGAGUCUUCGGCAAUGGACGAUAGUCUGACCGAGCAACACCGCAUGAGUGAAGAUGGUGUUCGGAUCGUGAAACUCUGUUGUUAGAAAAGCGGUAUCUAACCAGAGGGCCGCGGCUAACUACGUGCCAGGAGCCGGGGUAAUUG